UCCUACAGCCACACCACCCCGAAUGUGCCCAAUCUUGUCUUAUCUCAGAAGCUAAGCAGGGUCAGGUCUGAUUAGUACUCGAUUGGAGGCAGCCUAGGAAUACUGGGUGCUGCAGGCU
rnacentral:rRNA from 1 species